rnacentral:rRNA from 1 species
UACGUAGGGUGCGAGCGUUAAUCGGAAUUACUGGGCGUAAAGCGUGCGCAGGCGGUUUUGUAAGCCAGAUGUGAAAUCCCCGGGCUCAACCUGGGAACUGCAUUUGGGACUGCAAGGCUUGAGUACGGCAGAGGGGGGUAGAAUUCCUGGUGUAGCGGUGAAAUGCGCAGAUAUCAGGAAGAACACCCGUGGCGAAGGCGGCUCUCUGGGACGGUACUGACGCUGAGACGCGAAAGCGUGGGGAGCAAACAGG